AUGAGGAUUCUCCCAGGAAAGCAGCAGCUGGUGAGGUCACCCUGGGAUUGUGCCCAGCUUUACCUGCCUGACCUGUGGCACUGUGACCAUGGCAAAGCCACGGAUGGCAUCGUGUCCUGCUCAAUACCCACCCCCAGAGUGGGAGCAGGAGCUGGGACAGAUGUCCUCGUGUCCCCAGACCUGGGGGUUUCAGGUCCCUCUGCAUCCUGUGGGGGUUACAGGAUGGGACGAAGCAGUGGGAAGAGGAUGCAGAAGGAGAGGGUGUUACUGUGGGUCUGUUUAGCACCCACAGCUCUUCAGAUCCUGGAGGAGAAGGGGAAAAACCUCUGGAAGAAAGGGGGUAAGAGGCAUCCUGCUGGGUCUGAGUGCUGGCCCUGAGCAGGAGCAGCAGUGCCAGGGUGGGGAGACUCCACCUCAGAGAGCAGUGGAUCCAUCUGGGCUUUGGGAGCCCUGAUCCCCCAAUAUCAGCUUCCCUCCUGUGCUCACAGCCAGGACACCCAGAGGAGCUGGGGGCAGCGCUUGGGAUCCGCCUUGGACCCUGUGCACCCCAAAAAUGCCUGGGCAGGCCAGGGGGGCACUGACUCAAUCCCCUUCCAGUGAAGAUCCAGGGCUCUGGAACCACCAAACCCCAACUUUUCCUCAGCUGUGUCCAACCCAGCAGCAUUUUCCCAGCUCUGUGCUGCUGACCUGGCCAGGUGGAGAUGUCAAGGAAAGUGUGUUUUUGUGGUUGUUUUUUUGCUUUUUCCCAUUUUCAGCUUGUUACAAACCACUGUUCCCUUCCCACCUGCCAGCUCAGGACAGGAGCGCUGCUUUAGCUCGGUGUUGUCAAGGAGAGCUUAAAUAUUGUCAUUAAAAAAUUCCAGUCUUGCAUCACCUUCUCAGACACAGGAAGAAACCUUUGCAAUUAAAUCCCCUGUGCUCCAGCAGGAGGGCAGAAGUUUCUCCUUUUUUUCCCCCUUUUCUGUGAUGAUGGUAUUCUGGGAUUUUAGAGCAGCAGGGGGAAAAAAAAGCCUGUUUGAUUUUCCUCGUUAUGUUAAGCCUGGUUUUACUUUCUGAUUGCCAAAGCAUGAUAAAUGGAACACAGAUUACCUAGAGAUUUUCAAAGAUUUGCUUUCAAUUUGAUUUUUUCUUGAGCCUCAUUAAGCCUGCAG
rnacentral:lncRNA from 12 species